rnacentral:lncRNA from 14 species
GUGCCGUGCGCAUGCGCACUGUGGGCACCCUGAGCUGCCUGAGGGGUCUCGCCUCACAUAAGAUGGCGGUGUCCGGGGGUCACCCGGCUGAGCUGUGGUAGUUUUUGGCCUCCCUCACAACCACUGAUGUCAGGAUGUUGGUUUUAGUGGGUUCGGAGUGAGUGCAGUGAGAUGAGGUGACCGUGGGUUCUUUAGUAAAGCCGUGUUCGGGGGUGGGUUUAGGUUGUGUCUGUGCUGGCACCCCGGGAGAUGGGUCUGCUGUCCUUCCAAACGUGCCCAAAGCCACAUGCAGUGUGUGCUGCUGCCCUCACUGCCGUGCUUGGCAGGAACGGGUCACCUUCCGCCUUUGUCAGCGUGCUUUGCAGUCACGUUCUCUGGUGCUCUUAUUGAUGUGUUCCUGACACCCCACGAAGCAUGCUUCAGUGUGACUAUAGUCACACAAUCACUCUGGAGCCUGCAGGACCCUGUGGCUUUGUUACUCUUGCAGCUAAAAUGUGCCUGCACUUCUGUGAUGCAUCUGUCAGUCAGGAGCAGAGAGGAAGGCACUGUGAGGCCACAUUUUUCCACGUGCUACCAGUCAAGUACUGUUUGUGGACAUCACUGA